UUAAUUGAAGCCAAAAAGAGGCCUAUCAUUGUUAAUGAUAUAAUUGAGUUAAACUCCAAUUAAA
rnacentral:tRNA from 1 species